GGGUCAGUGGGUUGGUCGUGCCACCGGUACGUACUGGUCUCACUGAUUCCUCCUUCCUGAAGAACCGUAAUGCCAUUAAUUUGGUGUUGCGGGAAACAGGACUGUUACUUUGAAAAAAUUAGAGUGUUUAAAGCAAGCUAACGCUUGAAUACAUUAGCAUGGAAUAAUGAAAUAGGACGAUCGAUCCUAUUUUGUUGGUUUCUAGGAUUGACGUA
rnacentral:rRNA from 1 species